rnacentral:tmRNA from 1 species
GGGACUGUCAGGUUUCUACAUAUCAAAUGAAAUAUAUAGCUUACUGAGGAAGAAAAUAAGCUAAAGUUCAUAAAUUUUAGCUUAAUAAUAAAUGCAAAACAUAAUAUAAUUCCUCUUUCUAGAAGUAUCAUACUGGCAUAAUUUUUAUUCUUUUUUGAUACACAAUAAAUUUUAGAAUAUUAGAGAAUUCUUUCACUACUUUCUCUAAUUAGUAUAGUUUGAAUGCUCUUAGUGUCAUUCUUUUGAUAAUUAAGAAAAGCAUAAAUAAUAAUUACUUAUUCUUUAUUUCUUCUUUAUUACCUCAUAAUUUGGGGUAAUGCUUAUAAAUUAUUUUGUUAUGGACGUGGGUUCGAAUCCCACCA